CCUGGUUUUAGCUCAGGAACCCACUCUGAUGUUAAUGUUGUUCCUUGGGGAAAGGCCAUCUUAACUUCAGUAGUCUGUUUUUAACCAGUUUCCAGGAAUGCCCCAUGGACAAAUGAAGGGCAUAGGGGGAGAGGUGUCAAGCUUGUAUGCCCCUUUGCCAACUGUUGGCCUCUGCAGAGACUUGAUUCUCCCUCCAUCUCUGUAUAAAAGGGCUCAGCUAUUCUGUCUGGAUCUAGAGGCUUUCAAGUCCAAAUGUCUCAGUAAUGGGAAAGAGAAAAAGCGUUAAAUGGCUCACCUGCUAGUACUCAAUGAUAGUUACAGAAAUCCUUCUGUGUGUGGCUAUUAGAUGGAUUGCUGAGUUGAUGAGAGGAGGAGCUCUGGGGCCUGUGCCUCUGGGAAAGCAGAAUCUUUCAGAAGACUGGAAGAGAAGAUCUGAAGGCAGCAAAUCUCAGGUGCUAGAACACAAGGUGCAGACUGAGCAGCUGGAAAAGAGAGAUGGCUGAUGCUGAGUGCUCAGGGGUGGCUUCUGGAAGAAAAAGACUUGAGCUGAGAUGGUUCAAACAGGCAGGAACGAAGGCAUUCCAGGCUGGGAGCAGAGUAUGAGCAAAGGCGGGGAGAUUCCUGGCAGUGACUGUAAGUCCUGAAAACGGCUGUGACAGUCUUCCCGGUGAAUGGCAGCAGCUCCACAGUUUGCACACAGGAGAGAUUUGGGGGCAAUUUUGAUAAAGGGGAGUGUGUUUUCAUAGCACACACACAGUUUCUUCUUGGACCGUGUGCUGAUUGGAAGUGGGAAAUAGGGGGAGAGGGUAGAGCAAUCUGAUGUAGAUGAGGGUGGAGGCACGGGCCCCCACAAUUCACUCUGUGGUGACAUUGAAACACACACAAGGUGUGUGUAUCUAAAAUACAGUGAUUGCACACUUAAAAAUGGUAAAACUUUAACACACACACACACACACACACACACACACAUACUGUGUUUCAAUGCCACUACAGAGUGAACCGGAUCUAAAUAGGACCCAUCUAUUGUGAUUGGUUGAUAUAUCUAUUUCAAAUCUGAAAAUACCCCCUUUCUUUCUCCUCUUCCCUCGCAAUCUAUUUUUUGAAGAAACUAGAUCGUUUGUUCUGUAGUGAUUCAAGCAGUCUGGGUUUGGUGGUUGACAUGCUCGUUUGUCCCCAGUAUUUUCUGUAAUUUGGUAGUUAGAUCUAAAGGCUUGAUCAGAUUCAGGGUCAGAUUUUGGGGAUCAUUAAUUAUAAGAGGUGCUGUGUAGUUCCAGUGUAAUGGUUAUCUCUUCCUCUUUGUGUUGUUGAAGCCAUUGCUCAUACACUAGAUCUGUUAUUUCAUUAGAGGCUGCAAAAUGCUGAUUUUCCAAUUUUAUUGUUCCCUCCACAUUUAUGAGCUGGAAUACUUCUAUAAAAAGAAACUUCCCCAUAUCAACUAUUUGGGUACUCUGAGGUAUAGUUCACAUAGAUAAGGCAAGAUGAAUGCUUGAUUUGGUUACCAAUUUUCAAAAUAAUGAGUUGGUUCCUGGCAUCCUCCAAAGUUGACCAAUGAUUUUUUUUGUCUUUAUGAUCUCAUAUAUUUUAAUGUAUUUGAUGCUUUGUUAUUUCAUGGCUCAUGUUGUUCUUAUUUGGGAAUUAGGAGUUUUGAGUUGGUGGCAUAACCACACAGAGAGGAGCUGUUGCCAGCUAUUCCCCAAACACAGUAAUUUGACUGUAUGUCCCUAGGAGAAUAUACCCUAUAGACAAAAGGAACUAAAAAAGAGCUUACAUUAUUUUUUCUUUUUCUUUUUCUUUUUUUUUUUUUUUUUGAGACGGAGUUUCGUUCUUGUUGCCCAGGCUGGAGUGCAAUGGCGCAAUCUCCAGCUCACUGCAACCUCUGCCUCCUGGGUUCAAGCCAUUCUCCUGCCUCAGCCUCCCGAGUAGCUGGGAUUAUAGGCAUGGGCCACCACACCCGACUAAUUUUGUAUUUUUAGUGGAGAUGGGGUUUCUCUAUGUUGGUCAGGCUGGUCUCGAACUCCCAACCUCAGGUGAUCCGCCCACCUCGGCCUCCCAAAGUGCGGGGAUUAUAGGCGUGAGCCACCACGCCUGGCACUUACACUAUUUUCAUUAGUUAUAUUAUUGUUGGUAUUAUUAGUAUUGCUGAUUUAAAACUUUUGCAUGUGCCAUGGUAGGAUAAAGCAGGGAAGUAAUUAUACAGUAUUGGUGCUUUUGGGAACCAUGAGUUUCAGCAUGAGAGAAAGGAGAUACAUGAGCAAAAGAAAGAAAAAGUGAGGUUAAAUAGAACCUGUCUAGUUUUAAAUUUGAAUAGGAAGUAUCAACAGGGGCUCAGAAUUUGUUUUAUCCUAAAAAGAAUUUCGUAGCUCUGUCCUCCAAAAAGGUUCAGAAACAAUGAUUAAACCAGUAUCACCAAGCACCACACUCUCAAGCACCACAAUAAUGAUCUCUGAAAAGAAUCUUCUAAAGAGGAUUUUUUUUUAAGUUAGAAUUAAAAUAAAGCAAAUCAGAGCAAUGACAUGGUCAUAUAUGAGCUACAUUGAAUCCCCUAAAAUAUUAUAGGGUUGGUAGGAGAAAUCCUCUGGCAAUACUCAACAGAUAGUAAUCCAUACAGGUCAACAAAUAAGGCAGGCCAGGAACAGUGGCUCACACCUGUAAUCCCAGCACUUUGGGAGGCUGAGGCAGGUGGAUUGCUUGAGCCUAGGUGUUCAAGACCAGCCUGGACAACACAGUGAGAACUUGUUUAUACAAAACACUCAAAAAUUAGCCUGGUGUGGUGGCAUGCACCUGUAGUCCCAACUACUCAGGAGGUUGAGGCUGGAGGAUUGCUUAACCCAGGGAGGUCGAGGCUGCAGUGAGCUAUCAUCAUGCCAUUGCACUCCAACCUGGGCAACAGAGCAAGACUCAGUCUUGAGGAAAAAGACUCACACUGAAGUAACAGCAGAUUCCAGGUCUGAGGCAGGAAAUGCACAAGAUGAUUCAGAUCAGAAAGAAGGAAGGCAUCAAUGAUGAAUAGGGUUGUAUCAAAAGUAUAAAUUAACACCUUAAAUAAUUACCAUCAGGAAAGAAAACAAUUCCUAUAUUCUCCAUUGACUAAUGGAUAAAAUGCAGUUGCAAAAAAAUUCUAACAGUUUUGGAAACAUCAACUGAUGGAAGAGAACUGACACAUGCAAAUGAACCAAGAGCUUCAAUUAUGUGUACUUAGUUCCCCUGAUCAACUCUCUUCAUCCAACUCCCUAACUGCAUUUUUAUGACAGCAAUCAUGGCAGUAAAAUCAUUUCUCAGUUUGCCUUGCAGUUCUGAUUAAGAGUAUUGAGGCUUGACAAAAAUAUUCUAAACAAAACAUCUCUGUGAGCCACUCAUUGACAUUUUGGUGAAAAAUGAUUUUAUUCACCUUAAUGAGUCUUCUGCUCUUAGUCAUAGCACUGUUGAUAUUUUCCUCUAUGUUCUGUGGAAUACUGUGUUGGUGGAAAAAAAGAUGCUUUCCUCUACACCAGUCUCAAGUUUGAAAACCUAGAGCAGCAUCUUCUUAUUAAGAUAGCACACAUCUGUGUGGUAAAGCAAGCUUUCAGAACAACUUCUCAUAUUAUUAAAAACUGGCCCUAAGUGACAAGUGUUUAAAUGCUAA
ensembl:lncRNA